rnacentral:rRNA from 1 species
AGAGUUUGAUCAUGGCUCAGGAUGAACGCUAGCGGCAGGCUAAUACGUGCAAGUCGAGGGGUAACAGGGGAGCUUGCUCCUGCUGACGACCGGCAAACGGGUGAGGAACACGUACACAACCUUCCUUCUAGUGGAGGAUAGCCCAGGGAAACUUGGAUUAAUACUCCGUAAGAUGUUAGGGAGGCAUCUCCCAGACAUUAUAGUAGCGAUACGCCAGAAGACGGGUGUGCGUCUGAUUAGGUAGUUGGCGGGGUAACGGCCCACCAAGCCGACGAUCAGUAACUGGUGUGAGAGCACGACCAGUCACACGGGCACUGAGACACGGGCCCGACUCCUACGGGAGGCAGCAGUAAGGAAUAUUGGUCAAUGGACGAAAGUCUGAACCAGCCAUGCCGCGUGAAGGAUGAAGGUCCUCUGGAUUGUAAACUUCUUUUAUAUGGGACGAAAAAAGGGUUUUCUAACUCUACUGACGGUACCAUAUGAAUAAGCACCGGCUAACUCCGUGCCAGCAGCCGCGGUAAUACGGAGGGUGCAAGCGUUAUCCGGAUUUACUGGGUUUAAAGGGAGCGUAGGUGGGCUGUUAAGUCAGUGGUGAAAUCCCGGGGCUCAACCUCGGAACUGCCGUUGAUACUAUCAGUCUUGAAUAUUGUGGAGGCUAGCGGAAUAUGUCAUGUAGCGGUGAAAUGCUUAGAUAUGACAUAGAACACCGAUUGCGAAGGCAGCUGGCUACGCAUAUAUUGACACUGAGGCUCGAAAGCGUGGGUAGCAAACAGGAUUAGAUACCCUGGUAGUCCACGCCCUAAACGAUGGAUACUCGACAUUAGCGAUAUACUGUUAGUGUCUGAGCGAAAGCAUUAAGUAUCCCACCUGGGAAGUACGAUCGCAAGAUUGAAACUCAAAGGAAUUGACGG